UAUUCCAGUUCUGAGCCUUACUUGUUCAUAUGGUUUCAAUUGCCGUCUCUCAUGUGACGUUGAGAAAAUCACAUGUAUAUGCGUAUUUUUUCCUCUGUACCCUGAUUUAUCUUAGUCCUUAUGUCAAAGAUACUGGAUGUAGUAAUAGAUCGACGUACUAACAAAUGCAAAGAGAAUGGACCUCCUCUUGAUUAGCUCAAGAGGACCUGUAUAGUGGCUUCAUGUAAUUUCUUGAUUUCCCAUAAUGAUUUUGCUGGCAAUUUGUCAGUGUAUUUAUAGCUGAAAUUGUAUGUAUAUAUUACAAAUUUACAUUGCAACAAAUUAAUAAGGAGUAUAGAAGCAUUUGCAUCUAUCUAACAUAUUUGUAUGGUAUGUUUCAAAAAUCUCAAGGUUAGAUAUGUACUGAUGUAUGAGGCUAUCAUUAGGAUGGAAGACAAUUAAUGUUAAAAUAUUGUUUGAUUUUCCUUCGUUCUGUAAACAGCAAUACAAGCUAUGUUUGCACCAUGAUUCUAUUCCAAUUUUUUUAACAACUGACAAUUAACAACACAUCAAAUGUUCCGUAUUGAAAUGGGUCAUAAUGGUUAUAUUCUACGACAGGAUUAGUUUUGUUUAUACUGUAACCUGUUCAAGGAUUGAUGAGUUUUCGAACCCUACGAUCUUUGCACACUAAGGUUCAGUUGUGUUCUUUGUGAAAUAUACAUCCUGCAAGUCUCAUGUGUCUUGCGUUGUUUUUGCUUUCCAAGCUACAGGCUUUUGAUAUACUCAAAAUGAGAUUCUUUAUAUGGUGUUCGAUUCCUCUUGCUAUCACCACAACGGGAAAUGUCUUACCCCCGCAAAAAAAACGGGAAAUGUCUUACGGUGGCAAUAUGCUCUUCUAUGAUGUCUGAUUGACUUUUUUUUAGCAUGAAGAAUAAAUUUUACUUCACUAAGAUUAGUUUCUGUUCACAUUGCUCUGUAUAUAAAAAAGGAUUGUUGUGCUUACAAGGUUUAUGACAUUUUGGCGAAACAUUAUUUAGUAAAAAAGUAUGUAGAGGUGAACUUUAGAGGUGAAAUGUUGUGGGUGUUCUGACAAAGAGAUGCUUGGACUAACUUUAGCGUCACACCUUAUUCAAUAUCUGGGUAUUGGUUUCUACUAACUGUCAGUGCCUUAAUUUUUGUUUUCCUCCCAAUGCCAUGUGAUAUUUACUGGACUAUAAUUCACAUGCUUGCAAGUCGUCGUCGUGUCUCCCUCUCUAACUGCCCCCCUCCCAUCAUCUUGGCUUGCUCACUGUCACUAUGUCAGAUACCAUUUUAUUUAUCUCAUUAAGUUGUAUUGAUUGGCAAAAACACCUCACAAAUGCCAAAAAAUAAGCAACUCCUCUUGAUCAGCUCAAGAGGAUCUCCAGUGGCUUCAUGGUAUUUCUGAAUGUAUCUGUAUACCAGCCGAACGGGCAAAUACUCAAGUGACUGAAUGUGGUGACUAUAAAAGUCAGAACCGGGUACUUUUAUCUCUUGUGGAGAAUAUAAAUAUUUUUGUGGGUGCUCUUGUGUACAUAUAAAAAAUUUAAGGUGGUCAUGAUUCAGCUGACUAGGUUUUUUUUCUGUGUGAAGGAAAGAAAAAAGUUGGUACCUAAUAGAACCAAAGUAAUCGAUCCUCUUCUGUACAUUUGUAGAAAUAAAAUAGAAUAGCUUGGAAAGUAGUUUUGAUAUCAUUUUUGGAAAUAGCAUAUAGGUAGUCAUGGCAGGUUUUCUAUGAUCCAAAUAAGAGUACACAUGCCUUUGUUUUAACAUACAGAUUAAAUGUUGAAAAGUACAUUUUGAUUGCUUAGUCAGUGUAUUGUCCGUUCAAAAAAAAGUCAAUGUAUUGAUAAUAGUUUGGCUUCCUUGGUGGUGUAGAUUCAAGGAAAUUUAUAAAAUUCAUGCAUUCUUUCUUAACUUUUUUGCAUUUAUAUGUUCUGUACUGUUGAGUAAACUCAGUUGCAGCUAUAGCAAGUGAGCUCUAUAUUCAAUUCAGCUAACAGUUUUUGUUCCUACUAUUAAAACAUAUACUGUUUUUUAAGAGAAACAUACCUAAUGUUUUAUUUGAUUAACCCUGUAUGUAUAGCAAAUUUCUUCUAAUUUGUUUUUCUUAAGUGCUGAAGACUUCCAUAAGGGCGCAACUACAAAUAGUUCUUAUCUUCAGAGGGAAAAUCGUUUACGCCAAGAGAUAGAAGACCUGGAGGACACUGGGUAUAAGUUGAGAGUUCUCGCACAAAAUCAUCCGGACACACCGUAAAAUGGAUAGAUGACCUGUUUGCGCCUCAAGAAGUCAUAGGCAGGACCAAAUAUAUGAUGGAGUGCACGACCAAAAUCUAUCCAUUUUGGUCGUGCGCUCCAUCAUACAUUUGCGCCUCUAAAAUUAGUUUGUUGACUAAAUUGUGUUGUUCCCUUUUGCCGUUCUCUACUCUUUUUGCCGUUUUAACUGUAAAAUAUGAUAUAUGAUAUAAUGGUUAUUUGUAUAUCGAGCAGGUGAUGUAAUUACUUUCAAUAGUGCUUCAGCUCUGCAAUCGACAGUUUGACCUCAUGCUAGGGCAGCCUCAGCCAGUUGCCUCUUCUAUCAAAGUGCUGAUGGAAGACAUCCUGAGUCCUUAUUGCAUGCUAGAGAACAACAACUAUCUUGUUGGCGAUUCCCCUGAUAUUUGGUUCUACAAGUGUGGCAUAUGGACCAAUGAAAGCAAAGAUAUUCUGAAUGUAAUAGCUAUAUGGGUUGCGCCAAAUGGGUCAACAGUGGAAGCGUCACGCUUAAGUACCUGUGGAUGUGUACUAUGCAAGCAUUUUCAGACAAUGCAAUGGCACCCUGUUUGUACAUUCACACCCUUUGAAUGCCACAAUCAGACUAAGAAGAUGUCUAAAUGAGUUGUGAGGCUGCCUCCAUAUAAGUGUUUCUGUAAACCGAUCUAUGUCAUUCUACUACCUGUACUGCUAUCUGUAAUACAAUCCACAUUGCAUUCAAUGAGCAAAGUUUGAUAAAUUGUAUUUGUCGUCAUAUCCACACU